CAAGUGAGAAAAACUGUAAUAGUGUAAAUAUAUAAUCUAAUCAGUACAUCACAUGUAAAUACUGUUUGAUGUGUUAUAUAAGGAUUUCAACAUCUACACACAACUUAGUUUACUUAUAUGCCCCCUAGUGGCAGCAGAUCCGAAAGUGCAGCUUUAACAUGGCACAGUAUGUGUUUUAUUAGCUAUAUUGUCUCCUGGUGCCACUUUUGCCUAUUCCUACACACAUGCCUGUCAUGGAGGAGGGAUUCUUCCUGUGUUGUUAUUGGUUUAGUCAGUCUGGCUGUACGUGCUGCCUCUUUGGUCUUAUUUGCACUGGGCGAUCCACUGUCAAACAUUAACUGUGGGCUAAAUCAAACAGUUUCUCAGGCUUGCUCUGCAACCACAUGUCACCCGUCACAGUUUAUGAAACCACUAUCAAGAAAAUCAAAGAGAAAAUGACAUCUGCAGCGCGACUGUUAGAUGGCAAGAGAUGCAGGUUGAGAGACAAAGGCAGAGGGACACCAUGUAUCAAGGAAUAUGACUUAUAGCAGACUCAUGCUGCUGCUGCUGCUGCUGCUGAUAGGAGCGAUUUUGUCCUAUAUGCCCGAAGUCCACGCUGCACCCAUUGAUUUUUGGAGCAGAGAUGAUUCUCGGAAAUAUAUGAUGGACAGGAUUAACAUGACGGCUGACUGUAUCGGCUCAGAUGCUCUGCCGUCAGAUGCACAGGUACCCUGUGUUGGACUAAACAUGGCAAAAUGGAACAACUUAACUCUCCAGCAGAAGUUUGCAGAGGUGUUGGAGAGCUUCCACAUAUUUCAAAGAGCAGUGCAGGAUUUGAGGAAUCAGACCGAAGGCCAGUGUCACCUCUUUGUGCGAGAACUUCAAAAGAACAUUAACAAUCUUGAGGCAAUUAUCAGCCAUCGUCAAAGAGAGCUUUUUCCUCAGAAUGACACCUCUGGAUCUUCUCCUUUAGUUCUCAUUUGCCCAGAAAACACUCUGGACAAUGUUCUGAAGCUAUAUAAGAACCUGCUCAGAGGAAAAGUUGACCGCCUUGCCAAGGCCCAGAGACUAAUUUAACCAAUGGAGAGUGGCUCCUUUGUGGCCAGAGGACCAAUCGCAGAGGACUAAGAGGGUUUGUCAUAUUGAUAAAAGGAAAUGGACUAGUGAUAGAAGAGCAUCAACCAAGAAGUAAAGACCUUGAGAGAGAGAACAGAACCUCACCAAGAGGCCAAAUGUGUAAGAAAAAAACAAAACAAAAAAAGUACUUUACAGUUGAUGGUGUCAGGUAAAUCUACAGACAGAUGUUCUUUGUCAUUUUUUAUCAACAUCUCACAUUCUUUUCCAUGUAAGCCAGUAACUCUAUACUUGUUCUAAAAUAGUUCAAGGCUGCCAAACCACCUACUUGGUCGCACUUCUUCCUGCAAUGUGUAGUCCAAACUGUGACAGCAGUGCCCUCUGUGGGUGCUGGAUGAGAGGUGCUGUGUUGCACUGAAGGGUAUAGUAGUAUUUUGAGCCAAAGAUACAUAGAUACAGUUUGUAUAAUAUGUUAAUAUUGUAUGUAUGUAACAUAUGUAAAAAUCAUGCAGCAUUAUAUAUAAUAUGAAGAGAGUGUUUGUGUCUAUAUACUGGCAGACUGCUUAUGUAAAGAAUUAUUUAUUUACUCUUGGGACUUUGGUCUGUUUGUGGACACUUGCACUGUUGUAUUUUAUAUGGAACGGGUCUUGUUAGUAUUACUCUAACCAUGACUUUCAAAAUAAAAAAAAUGCCGAAAUGGUGAUUAAAGUUUUG
ensembl:lncRNA